rnacentral:rRNA from 1 species
UGCCAGCCGCCGCGGUAAUACGGAGGGUCCAAGCGUUGUCCGGAUUUAUUGGGUUUAAAGGGUACGUAGGCGGGACUUUAAGUCAGUGGUGAAAGCCUGCAGCUUAACUGUAGAAUUGCCAUUGAAACUGAAGUUCUUGAGUAUGGAUGAGGUGGUUGGAAUAUAACAUGUAGCGGUGAAAUGCUUAGAGAUGUUAUAGAACACCGAUUGCGAAGGCAGAUCACUAAACCAUUACUGACGCUAAGGUACGAAAGCGUGGGGAGCGAACAGGAUUAGAUA